rnacentral:rRNA from 1 species
CGGACGGGUGAGUAAUGUCUGGGAAACUGCCUGAUGGAGGGGGAUAACUACUGGAAACGGUAGCUAAUACCGCAUAACGUCGCAAGACCAAAGAGGGGGACCUUCGGGCCUCUUGCCAUCGGAUGUGCCCAGAUGGGAUUAGCUAGUAGGUGGGGUAAAGGCUCACCUAGACGACGAUCCCUAGCUGGUCUGAGAGGAUGACCAGCCACACUGGAACUGAGACACGGUCCAG